rnacentral:rRNA from 1 species
AUUGAACGCUGGCGGCAGGCCUAACACAUGCAAGUCGAACGAGUGGCGGACGGGUGAGUAAUGUCUGGGAAACUGGCUGAUGGAGGGGGAUAACUACUGGAAACGGUAUCUAAUACCGCAUACCAUCAGAUGUGCCCAGAUGGGCAUAGCUAGUUGGUGGGGUAACGGCUAACAAAGGCGACGAUCCCUAGCUGUUCUGAGAGGAUGACCAGCCACACUGGAACUGAGACACGGUCCAGACUCCUAGGGGCGGCGGCAGUGGGGAAUAGUGCACAAUGGGCGCAAGCCGGAUGCAGCCAUGCCGCGUGUAUGAAGAAGGCCUUGGGGUUGUAAAGUACUUUCAGCGGGGAGGCGUUACCCGCAGAGUAAGCACCGGCUAACUCCGUGCCAGCAGCCGCGAUAAUAC